CAGCAAUGCAGCAUGCAUGCCUUUUUUAAUCCAUUCCAUUUUUUAAAAAAAUAAAACAGGGUCUCAUGGAGCCAAGAUUGGCCUUGAACUCCUGAUGCUUCUGCCUCCGCCUCCCAAGUACUGAGAUCACAGAUGCUCUAUCACUGCUACUCCAGGCCUUCGAAACAGGAGCCAUUUUGUGGCAUGCUCCUCUUUCCUACCACCACGGGGCCAGAGAGAUGUCACCAAAACUCAAAGCAACAGUCUUGUGUGCCAGCUGAGGUGGCUUGUCCUCAGCUGGACAGAUGAAUGAGCAAUAAGCAUCAUGGGGCCUGUUACAGAAAGUCACCCAGUAUCUCGAGAACUCACGUCAGCAGGGGACAGUCGUCUUCAAGAUGCCUUCAGGCCCCCAUGAGCCAGCUUGGAAGCACUCAUUUUCAAAAAGAUAGUGUUGGUGUAUGCUGGACCACACCACGACUGUCCUGCUGGCCCUGGGUCUGAGGGCUCUGUGCCCCCAGCUCUGCUAGAGACUGCUGGCAUCUCACUUCCAGCUAGGAGGAACUAUCAAGCUACAAGCCCACCAGAGGCAAUGGAAGACAUUCCCUCCGUCUCUGCCUGGAGAACCCCCUUGGACGAUGGGACCACUUGCAUCUGGCAGGCGAAGGCCAUCAGGAUACUUACUGAGGACACAGCAAGGAAAUGGCAGAGCCAGGAUUCACUGACUCCAAGGUCAGUGACAUUUCUGUAACAAUAGUGGCGGUAUUCAUCUUUAGUAUAUAGGAAACCUAGUUCAUCUUUUAAUGUGUAAGUUUUAACCUGCAUAUAUGUAUGCAUGUGUACCACGCAAAUGCUGGUGCCCACAGAGGCCAGAAGAGACAGUCAGGUCCCUAGGAACUAGAGUCAUAGGUGAUUAGAAGCUGCCCAACAUGGGUUCUGGGAACUGAACACCUCUUCAGCCCCCUAGUGUAAUACUGAAUUGCCAUCACCUGAUCCAGAGGUGUGUGGGAGCAGGUGCCUGACCCACGGGAGGAUGGGUCACUUCCAUUUACUUCCAGUUGGCAAGAGUAAAAUGGCCAGGAUCCUCAGUUGCUGUUCAGUCUGUUGCACUACCACCAAUUCAAGCUUUAGAUAGGGCACAGUCAAGUCCCUUUCACAGUCAUCUGCUUUCUGGGUGACAAUGGUAAGACCUCUCUCGGCCUGCCGCUUCUCUGCUUAGGGCUAGUGUUAGAGGGAAAGCCCCUGCUGCUGGGGUGUCAUGGUCUUUGGCACAUUGUCCCUCCUUCACUUCCAAGGCAACUGCAGAAGCCCAGCCUGAGGACUAGCUGAGUUGGCCGUCAGUACAGUGAGCUGACCAUGGUGCAUUGUUAGCUCCAGGAAGUGGUUAGCUAUUUUCCAGCAGGUCUGCAGAGCCGGACAGCCAGCCUGCCUUGGAAUUGGCGGAUGGGAGUCGAGAACACUGCUUUCCUGGAGCCCUUGGGCUCUGGGCCAGGCCCUCAGGCUUCCUUUAGAAGAAGGAGCCCUGAUUGAGUGAGCAAGCCAUUCUUGCCCAGCUUGGCACACGUCUUCUCUGUCUACCUCAUGCCCUUCUCUCCACCCAAGCCUCUUUGCAGCAGAGUGCACAUUAUUGGCUAUGGCAUCCAUGAAUCCUGCUUUCCAGAGGGCAGGAGGGCUGUGCACACCAACACCUCAGUAGAGGAAUUGCACCACAUGGGCUCCAGCCUGGGUAGUGGGGCUGAGAGGAAGCCCUCAGCUGCCCUGUCGGACCUGGGCUACAAACUCCUGCCACGGUGGAACUAAGAGCUCUGAGCACAGGGCAGCCUUGGGAAGGCUUGCAUCCUCUCGGGGCCUGUUGCCCAUUUGAUAGCUGUAGGAGUGCUCUGUAGACUGUCUAUGUUGCAUAUAGAGCUGACACUGUUGCUGCCUGCCUUUUCCCUUCCAGGAGGACACUUGAGCCGGAACACUGGUCCCUUGGAGAGUAGUUGCACUGCCUGACACUGAGGUCACAUGUGGGUCUUCACAUGAUGGCUGGUGUCUUCUGCCAUUGAUCCUGCAAGAUUAUCUUUCCUGACAGUUCUUCUCUGGCCAGUGGCUCUAGAUUGAGCUGUAGUCCUUGUCUCUGUCCUAGAUCCCUGAGGGUUGGGUCACCAAAGCCCAGCAUGUAAGGAGGUCUCCUUCCCCUGGGAGUUUCAAGUUCAGGCAGCUGCAGGGCUCUGCUUUAGGCUGGGGCCUCUGCACAGCUCCCCCUUGCCCUGCCAGAUGUCUUGGGGUCAGCUACCCUGCAGCGUUCUGGUGUACCUGACUACUAGAAAAGCAAUACUCCCCUGUCACCCUAUUUUUUUUUUGUCCUGGAGUUUGGACUCGGGCUUUCAACAUACUAUGCAAGUGCUCUAUCACUGAGCUAUAUGCCCAGCCCUUUUUUGAUUUGAGACAGAAUCUUGCUAUGUAGUCCAGCUUGGGCUUGAACUCAUAAUCCUUUUGCCUCCAUCUCCCGAGCCCUAGCAUUAUAGCUGUGCACCACCAUGCCCACCUGGAUUUCCUGUUUUGACUCCUGUGUCAGGAAAGCAACCCUGGAUGGAAGUGAGGCCCAUUCCUGAUGGCUUGGCCAUUGCAGGGCUGUCUAGGAGGAAUGCGUAAUAGCACAGUGCACAGGAUAGGUAGAAGGACGGGUAGCUGUCAGUUUUCCAUGGACCUUGUUUCUGUUGAUAUAUUGUUCCUUCAAAGGUCACCCUUUAAUUAAUCUGUGUCACCAGAGUUCAAGCAGGGGCAGCCACAUCCCCUGGCUUUAGAGGAAGGCAUGUGUUCCAGGCCUGGGCAAAGACUGCUGAAUCCCCCCUCACAUCCCCGUGGGACUUCAGCUGCGUCUUUUCAUGGGAGUUAAGUUGACAAGAUGUCAGCUUGAAAUUGCUGGUGGCCAACUUAUGCAGCUAAGGAUGAAGCCAACAAAGAAGAAAGAAAACACAGAUUACGCUGUGUGGACUUGUUCUUGCUACUCAACAAGCCCCUGGAUUGAGCCAUGCCUGAAGCCAACACUUGGACUAACCUGAAUACAUGAGCCAUUUUUUUUUUUUUCCUCUAAAAGAAACCCAUCUUGGAUUUGUGUGACAGAAUGGCUCCUAGUACAGGCAAUGGUUUUCUACCUUUCUCAGAACAGCAUUGUUGAGAUAUUAUUUAUGUGCAACGAAAUUCACCAGUUUUAAGUAUACAGUUUCUAGUCUUUUCAGGAACACAUACCCAUGUAACCAUCAGCAUUAGACUGGAAUCUUACCUGCCCUGAAAAACUCUAUCCACCCCCUUGAUGGUUAGUCUUUUCUGGUGGUCACACAGUAUAUGUUAAGUGUCUAGUUUCUCUUAGUGUGUUUUUAUGAUUAAUUCCUCCAUGUACAUUAGGGUCCAUCUACUCCAUUGUAGGCUGGACAGCAUGACACCCUGUGGGUAUUCCACCAUUUGUUUAUCCAUCUGGUAUACGAUGGCUGAUUUUGGUUGGUGUGAAUAAAGCUGUUUUGCAUGCUCAAAUGUCA